UGGGGCUGUGGCUCAGUGGUAGAGCACUUGCCUCACAUGUCUGAGGCUCUGGGUUCAAUUCUCAGCAUAA
rnacentral:tRNA from 1 species